UACGUAGGGAGCAAGCGUUGUCCGGAAUCAUUGGGCGUAAAGCGCGCGUAGGCGGCCCCGUAAGUCCGCUGUGAAAGUCAAAGGCUCAACCUUUGAAAGCCGGUGGAAACUGUGGGGCUAGAGUCCGGAAGAGGCGAGUGGAAUUCCUGGUGUAGCGGUGGAAUGCGCAGAUAUCAGGAGGAACACCAAUAGCGAAGGCAGCUCGCUGGGACGUUACUGACACUGAGGCGCGAAAGCGUGGGGAGCGAACAGG
rnacentral:rRNA from 1 species